AUGUCAGUAUAUGCGGCUGAAAUUAGCAAAAUUGCAGCCCUGAUUUCAAAUCCCGCAAGCCGCCGCUUGCUCGGUUGCUUCUCGUCCCGGCGGCGGGCCACCGACCCUACCAAUACACCCAUGGCCGCGGCCGCCGACCACCAGCACGGCCACAUCGACAAGGAGAAGGAGAAGGAGCUCCUCUCAUCGGUGGUUGGUGACAUACGCUGUUACUCCGGUUCCGACCCCCUCCGCCCAUGGCUCCGGGGGAUCCGGAGGCUGGAGGGGUCGCUGCCGCCGGCGACGUUGCGGGAGAAGCUGCCGAGGUUCCUCCAGAAGUGCGCCGAAGAGUUCCAGGACGAGCCCCGGUACCGCGACGACCCGCGAUACCUCCGCGUCUGGAUCCAGAUGAUGGACUAUGUGAAGGACGCAAAGCCAUUGCUGAAGAAGUUGGAGAGGAACAGAAUAGGCCUCAAGAGAGCUGCGUUUUAUAUGGCUUAUGCGAUAUAUUAUGAGAAGCGUAGGAGGUUUCAGGAGGCAGAGCAGAUGUACCGCGUGGGAAUCCAGAACCUUGCAGAGCCUAUCGAGGAGUUACACAAAUCACAUGAUCAAUUUAUCUAUCGCAUGGAGUUAUACCGGAAGAGGAAAGAUAAAGAAGGAAUGCCCAGCAGAGUUAAACCACUUCCUAGAUGUGCAAACCAAGUUGAUGGUCAAAGCAGAAAUUAUACAGAACUUAAGUCCAAUCCUGUGCAAAAAUUGGGAAGUAGUUCAAAUUCUUCAUUGUGCCGUUAUCCUCCAUUAGGUCAUGCUAAAGAUGGUGUACCAUCCAGAGGCACCUCAGGAGAUAACAAGAAUUUGUCUCGUUGUAAUAGUGAUGAUACUGUAGUUGUACGAUUUGUUGGCUCUGCAUUGGUUGGAAAGUCAGAAACUGAAGAUGCUUGUCAUCAUGGCCUUGUUGAACCAACUAUAAACUUGAAGGAGGCUAUGGAUGACAUCAAUAGCAUGUUUCUAGAGCCAGUGGAACCCGAGACAAUGCUCAAGAAACGCUCAAAGCGUGAUCAACCAAAGUUUAAUCAGCAGGCAGGUGCACUUCAUAUCUUUGUUGAUGAAGAACUUAACAGUAGUGAUUCAAACAUUCUCCAUGGCAAGAACACAAAGUCAGUCCAUCCAAAGUUCAGUCAACAAACAAGUGCAUUUGAAAUAUUUGUUGAUGAAGAUUGUCCUAAUGGUACCAACCAAAAUGUGGGCCAAAACAGGAAAAGUAACAAGGAAAACAGUCAGCAAACAAGUGGGUUUGAAAUCUUUGUUGAUGAAAAUGAGCCUAAGGGCAAUGAUCAAAAUGUCAUGUGUCACAAGAACACUAAGUGUCCUCGAGCAUUACGUGAUUCAGCAAGGCAGCAGGGCACAGGUGACUUCCAAAAGCCAUUUGUGGGAGGGUUUGCAAUAUUGGCGGAUGAUGAAGAUGAACAAUGUGCGAACAAUGAUGAUGGUGUUAGGAUAAAUUCCAGAAGUAUGCAUCCUCAUAAUAAGCUUACUAUGCUCCAUGCAGAACAAGCUGAUAAAGAAACAAGACAUGGCGAAGGUGAGAAUCCUUUAAAUUUUGGACUUCGAGAAGACACAAUCAUUCAUAGGUUUGUGGGAUCUGCUGUUGUUGAUGAGCCUAAAGUGGAAAAUGCAUGCCACCAUGGGUUAGUUGAUCCAACUAUCAAUUUGAAGGAGGCUAUGUCUGAUAUAAACAACAUGUUUGGAAAACCACUGAACUUCCAGGAUGGUAAAAAACCGAACAGGAAAACGAAUGCAGUAUCAGAGAGAAAAGCAGCUCCUGUUUCUGGUUUCUGCAUAUUAGCUGAUGAUGACAUUAGCAAGGACCCUGCUGCUAAAGACAAAUCAAGCAAUUCCUGUACAUUUGGAUCUGAGAGUGGUCUAUUUGAGCCCACUAUCACUACCCGCGACGUCAUGUCGGAGAUCAAUGAUAUGUUUGGAAUGUCACUUGACUUCUAA
rnacentral:rRNA from 1 species